AAAGGAAUAGACGGGGACCCGCACAAGCAGCGGAGCGUGUGGUUUAAUUCGAGGCUACGCGCAGAACCUUACCAGGGAUUGACAUGGCUGUGGUAGUGAAGCGAAAGCGGAACGACCCUUCGGGGAGCAGUCACAGGUGAUGCAUGGCUGUCGUCAGCUCGUGCCGUGAGGUGUUUGGUUAAGUCCACUAACGAGCGCAACCCUUAGCCUCAGUUAUAAGUGUCUGAGGCGACUGCCGGUAUUAAGCCGGAGGAAGGUGGGGAUGACGUCAAGUCCGCAUGUCCUUUAUAUCCUGGGCUACACACACGCUACAAUGGCCAGUACAAUGGGUCGCCAAGCCGCGAGGCGGAGCCAAUCCUAAAAAGCUGGUCUCAGUUCGGAUUGCAGGCUGCAACCCGCCUGCAUGAAGUCGGAGUUGCUAGUAACCGCAGGACAGCUAUACUGCGGUGAAUACGUUCCCGGGUCUUGUACACACCGCCCGU
rnacentral:rRNA from 1 species